CCUACGGGAGGCUGCAGUGGGGAAUAUUGGACAAUGGGCGAAAGCCUGAUCCAGCCAUGCCGCGUGUGUGAAGAAGGCCUUCGGGUUGUAAAGCACUUUCAGUGGGGAAGAAAGCCUUGGGGCUAAUACCCUCGAGGAAGGACAUCACCCACAGAAGAAGCACCGGCUAACUCCGUGCCAGCAGCCGCGGUAAUACGGAGGGUGCGAGCGUUAAUCGGAAUUACUGGGCGUAAAGCGCGCGUAGGCGGUCUGAUAAGCCGGUUGUGAAAGCCCCGGGCUCAACCUGGGAACGGCAUCCGGAACUGUCAGGCUAGAGUGCAGGAGAGGAAGGUAGAAUUCCCGGGGUAGCGGUGAAAUGCGUAGAGAUCGGGAGGAAUACCAGUGGCGAAGGCGGCCUUCUGGACUGACACUGACGCUGAGGUGCGAAAGCGUGGGUAGCAAACAGGAUUAGAUACCCCGGUAGUC
rnacentral:rRNA from 1 species